GACGAACGCUGGCGGCGUGCUUAACACAUGCAAGUCGAACGGUGAAGGGACCAGCUUGCUGGUUCUGGAUGAGUGGCGAACGGGUGAGUAACACGUGAGUAACCUGCCCCCUGCUUCUGGAUAACCGCAUGAAAGUGUGGCUAAUACGGGAUAUUCUGGGUCUGUCGCAUGGCGGGCCCGGGAAAGAUAUUGCUUCGGUGGGGGAUGGGCUCGCGGCCUAUCAGCUUGUUGGUGGGGUGAUGGCCUACCAAGGCGGUGACGGGUAGCCGGCCUGAGAGGGUGGAAGGUGACACUGGGACUGAGACACGGCCCAGACUACUACGAGAGGCAGCAGUGUGGAAUAGUGCGCAACGGGCGCAAGCCUGAUGCAGCGACGCCGCGUGAGGGAUGGAGGCCUUCGGGUUGUAAACCUGUUUCGCCAGUGAAGCAGGCCUGCUCCUUGUGGGUGGGUUGACGGUAGCUGGAUAAGAAGCGCCGGCUAACUACGUG
rnacentral:rRNA from 1 species